rnacentral:rRNA from 1 species
UACGGAGGGUGCAAGCGUUGUUCGGAUUCACUGGGCGUAAAGGGUGCGUAGGCGGAUCGGUCAGUCGGAUGUGAAAUCCCGCGGCUCAACCGCGGGACGGCAUUCGAUACUGCCGGUCUUGAGUACUGGAGAGGAAAGCGGAAUUCCUGGUGUAGCGGUGAAAUGCGUAGAUAUCAGGAAGAACACCGGUGGCGUAGGCGGCUUUCUGGCCAGAUACUGACGCUCAGGCACGAAGGCUGGGGGAGCAAACAGG